rnacentral:rRNA from 1 species
UACGUAGGGAGCAAGCGUUGUCCGGAAUCAUUGGGCGUAAAGCGCGCGUAGGCGGCCCUGUAAGUCCGUUGUGAAAGUCAAAGGCUCAACCUUUGAAAGCCGAUGGAUACUGCAGGGCUGGAGUCCGGAAGAGGCGAGUGGAAUUCCUGGUGUAGCGGUGGAAUGCGCAGAUAUCAGGAGGAACACCUAUUGCGAAGGCAGCUCGCUGGGACGUAACUGACGCUGAGACGCGAAAGCGUGGGGAGCAAACAGG